GGGAAAGGAAUGCUGC
rnacentral:miRNA from 1 species